GUAUUAACUUCUUGAGCAAUUUGAGCUACAGUAGCUCAUCUGUUGGAUCGAACCACAUGGGCCAGCCUUCGCUCUCCACAUGCAUCAAUGAGCCUUGGCCACUCAUGACCCUAUCGCUGUUUCACCACUGUUCCUUCCUUGGAAAACGCUCAAUUGCUGCCUAAUAUAUUCCACCCACUAACAGGUGCCGUGAUGAAGAGAUAAUCAGUGUUAUUCACUUCACCUGUCAGUGGUCAUGAUGUUAUGCUUGAUCUGUGUAUAUGGCUGCUAUUUCGGCUUUCCAUUUACCCAUCGAUGGUCACUCGGUUGGAAAGCUCUUUUCAUGCUUAUUUUAGCAUGUGGUAAGAGCGUGGGCGAUUUGCACACACUGUCUACGGAUGCUGCUUGUAUGGAGUUCGGUUAGAAUGAAUGUAUGGUCAGACUACUGUAUGGUCAGACUACAGCCCAGAAGGUGUAUGUGCCUAAAGUGCUUACAACAUUGCUUAGAGCACAGUCCACUGGACUCUCAGUCAACACUGCAUCCCCUAUGCCCAGUCCAAGCUUUACGUGCUUAUCUGGACAGGUCCAGUCACUUUAGGCUGUCUGAGCACCUGUUUGUUUGUUUUUGGAGGCCGCACUAAGGGGCUGUCGGUUUCAGAACAGCGGCUGUCCCAUUGGAUUGUAGAAGCGAUUGCAUUGACAUAUGCUUCUAAGUAUGAGACCUCUGUCCUUUUGGAGUUCACACUCACUCCACGAGGAGUGUGGCUUCUUCAUUGGCUAGGGCUAGAGGAAUGUCGAUAUUUGUCUGGCGGCAGGAUUUCCGGGAGACAUGUUUGUUGCCUGGAAACAAAGAUGCCGUGAUGCCAAAUCCCCUUAUGGAAGAAACCAGCAUUGUGUUUACAACUGUGACAAUGAGCACUUAUCAGGAUCAACUAAACGCUGGAUUUUUCAAAAGCAUGUGAAGUAUGUAAAUUUCACAACAUAGACAAAGAGUCACAAGAGUAUGUGCUCCUAUUUCAGUAUUGUUAAGUUAGUGUAUAUUUUCAGCAGACUGUUUCAUACAUUCGGUUUAUCAGCAUUAAAUUGGGUUUGUUAUGAACUGUGUAUAUGCAUUUUAAACACACUAUGUUCUUCAUCCAUGCAAUAAAUGCAUGAAUGAGUGUGGUUUUAUAGCAUAUUUAAUUCAACAGCUUAAAUAAAGUUAAUUGUAUGACCUAUUUUAGGGAUGGGCAAAAUUAUGAUUUAAAAUCAGUCAGAGUUAGAAACGUAUCUUAAUAUUUACUGGUAAAGCUUCAUAUUAUGGGAAGACUACUUUCUUUGACCCCCACCAUCUUGUUAUGAUGUCCUUCAGAGGGAUCAAGCCUUCUUUAGGAGUUUCAGCAACCCCCACCCCUGCCCCUUUUUUUUUUUUUGCCAGUAAAUUCUCAUGUCAUCAUUCAGGUGUAUACUAUUUUUGGUUUUUCCAUGAAAAUCUUUGACAGAGUAAAUUAAGUAUAAUUGCAGUACUCUGUCGGUACUGGCUGUUUAAAAAUACCCUAAGGACAUAUUAUGAAAUCCAGAGUCUGACAUGUUUUUAAAAAUGCGAAGGAAAGACUCAGGGGUCCAAAUUGAGGACAAUAUGGACCAGGCCAAGUUGCCCCCCAUCAAGGUUUGAGCUGAGCCGUCCUCGCCAUCUCUGCCUUGAGCCCUUCACCCUGGAGCAAAGCCAAGCAAAUGCGGAGCAAACCAGAGUAAGCCAGUACGACAGAGAUCCCUAUAACCUCCCAUCCCUCCCAGACACCUACUUCUCGAACCCCUCUGACCAUUCCAGACACCCUAACACACUCAUGGACACAUGCUUGUUUUUUUCUGGCUUCUAUUUCAGUCUCAUUCUCUCUCUUUUUCUUUUAUGUCAUUUCUAGUUCUGAACAUAAAUAUUACAUGCUUUUCUUGCUGUUUCCUGUGCUUCCAAAGUUAUAAGUUACACAUAAUUUAAGCUACUCUUUAAAAAUGAAACAAAAAGUAGCUAACUACACUGCUGAUAUUUAAGGGGAUAAUAUCUUUUAAAGUAUAUUAACCACAAUGUAUUUAUUAACACAAAGCUCCAUAUAUAACACUGGAUAUAUUAUAUAAAUUGUUCCCCAUACACACAGUAUACUCACAUAAAGCGAUGCAAAUCUCAACUGCCUGAUUUUUGAUUUUGACGUAAAAUGUAACUAUUAUCAUUCAGCUUUUUAUAUAAAGAUGGAUAUAUAAGUAUGUCCAACUUUAUCCGCACACAUACAUAAUACGUGUGUAAAGCAAUUUAUACUAUGUAGAUUAUCUCAGUGGCUUGAUUGCAUGUAUCAUCACAAAUUGUAAACUAUAUCACCCAACUCUAAUCUGCUAAAUGUACCUAUGCAUUAUGAAGAUAUUGGUAUGGGUAUGAAGAUAUUAUAAACAUUAACUUCAUGAUUUUCUAUAAAGCUGCUUUUUAACUUGACUUGAAUAUAUAAACCACAUUAAAUUUCAUACAUGCAAAUUUACUCUAAAUAGAUAGCAGGAGAAUAAUGUAACCACAUUGACGCUGAUUUAAACAAUACCAGACAAAGAAACUGAGGAAACUAUAAAGCAUGGAGAUAAUGAGUAGAACAGAAACUGGUGUAUAAGAACUAAUUAACAUCCAGGGAAACUAACAAGGGAACACAGGAAAACAGGAAACGAUAAAACAGAGUGAAAAUGAAACUAAAACAGGAUAUAACAGAGAAUAACUGUUACAAAAACAACAUCUAAAAAAAUAGCAAUGUUGCAUUUUGUCAUACUACACAGCUACUUGUUAGUCUUGCAAACUAGAAAAGCUAUGCUAUAUAUAUAGAGGUCAAGCUCCUUUCAUGGUUGCCUUCUGAAAAUUGUAGUUAAGUUAGUAGCAUUGCUGUCUUGUAGUUAGUUAUUCCCAAACACUGUUUGUCUAGUUGAAGUUAAUAACCUGUAUUAAUGCCAGAUUGUUCAGAUAGCUCAGCAUACAAAUAUAGUCAUGCUUUCGUUGCACUUUGCUGGUUCCCAGAAAUGGCCUGCCUGGAAAAUAAGAAAAUAUGAAAAUUAACUGUUUGCAAUCUUCAGUCUUGUCUCACACAUGUGCCUCUUUCUUGUAGGCUGGAACUCUGAUGUCACACCUGCUUUCAAUCAGGUGCCGUGCUAGAGUAACUAGGAUGUUUUCCUGGAAAAGAAUAGCAACUGAGCAACACUUCAGGACACAUGCCCGGAGACAGGAGAGCCAAUCAGAGCAGAGCGAGGUAGAGGCUGCUUCACCAUAUGUUGAACCAAGCUGGUUUCCUGAACAACCACACAGCACUACUCCGGAUGUCUCAUGUCACACAGAACUCUCUGUGCACUAGGCCAGCUGUGCCCUUUCCUGCCCUCUUGGCUUCUCCCCUUGUUUUGUGUUAAAGGUGACCCAUAAUUCCCAUGAGUUUGGCCCUGCUUGUGUUAUUCUUCCAUAACUUGUCAGCUGUGAGAAUACACUUACCCACAGCAGAAUGACCUCACGAGCCUCUACUACUGUUAGUCAGCCAAAUGUUAAGUCACUGCACACCAGUACACAAACAAACAACAGCAUGGCUGAAACAUUUUUGGUAGCGGAAAGUCCAUCCGAGAUUAUGCUCUACUGUCAUUUUUGACCCUCUGUUUCCCGCUCCUGUUCCUGAUGUUUGUGAAGUAUGGCACAAUAGGGCUUUUGUACCUCUCAGAUUCUUGGCUUUCUUUUGUUUGGCACUGGGUUCAUAUGCUUUUUUUCUCUGUGAUUUGGCACCAGUGACCUCUCUCCACCUGCUUCUCAUUCUAAACCAGCCUGUCAGGUCGAUCUGGUUAUUAAUCCACACAAUUCAGCAUCACUGCCCAACUCUGAAAUUUGUUGCUUGUUGUCUCUUCUCUCCUAUGCAGGUGGCUGAAGAAAUUUUACUGACUUCAGAAGUUGGUCAGUUGUAGUGAACCAGAACUAAGAUAAAAAUGGACAGUUCACCAUCAUUUACUCACCCUCUUGUCGUUCCAAACCUGUAUGGCUUUAUUUCCCACAAGGAAGAACAUACAGUGAAAGCCAGUAAAUGAUGACAGAAUUUUCAUUUUUUGGUGAACUAUCCUUUUAAUGUUGAGUAACUUAUGCUUCAGACAAAUCUGGAUAGUAUUUUUUUCUCUGCCAAUGAAAAGCUGGUGUUUCAUCAAGCAAUGCACAGACGAAAUCAGUAUAUAUGAAUGGAGUAUAGUGAAAACAAUUUCCCUUUCUCCACUCCAUUCGAUGUUUUGCAUUUCCCUUGUGAGAGAAAUCCAACUCCUGGUAACCAUCUGACAAGAGACGUACCAACUUUCAAAAGAAUCACACAACUCUAGGCCAUUCCGUACCACAAACACCACAAACACAAGCAAAGUGAUAAAAACAGUGAAAACAGUUUGUAGAAGCAUCUUCUAAAGCCCAAAGUUUACUUUCGUUUCAUACGUGUACAGCCUUUUAAAGUAUACUCCAUUUGACAGUGUGCUCGACCACAGGGGCUCAACAGACUCUCAUUAAAAAGUUUCGUCCAUG